AAAGUCGUAACGAGGUUUCCGUGGGUGAACCUGCGGAAGGAUCCAAACGUUGAAACAACCCUGUGAAUCAGUUCCCCCAGGGCAGAAAAAUGGGCUUGCAACUGCCCACUUGCCCCCAAGCAAUCAUCAAUCUGAAAUUGUGUGGUGAAUUGUGCAAGGGCAGCGCAGUCAACAUCGGUGGUCCACACGGCCAUCGACCGGCUGACUCUUGGGGCUCAGUCCGACGCACCCCUCAGCGAACAACUGUUAACAAUGGAUAUCUUCGUUCUC
rnacentral:misc_RNA from 1 species